UACGGGAGGCAGCAGUGGGGAAUAUUGCACAAUGGGCGCAAGCCUGAUGCAGCCAUGCCGCGUGUAUGAAGAAGGCCUUCGGGUUGUAAAGUACUUUCAGUCGUGAGGAAGGUGUUAAGGUUAAUAACCUUAGCAAUUGACGUUAGCGACAGAAGAAGCACCGGCUAACUCCGUGCCAGCAGCCGCGGUAAUACGGAGGGUGCGAGCGUUAAUCGGAAUUACUGGGCGUAAAGGGCACGCAGGCGGUUAAUUAAGUUGGAUGUGAAAUCCCCGGGCUUAACCUGGGAAUGGCAUUCAAGACUGGUUAGCUAGAGUCUUGUAGAGGGGGUAGAAUUCCAUGUGUAGCGGUGAAAUGCGUAGAGAUGUGGAGGAAUCCGGUGGCGAAGGCGGCCCCUGGGACAAAGACUGACGCUCAUGUGCGAAAGCGUGGGGAGCAAACAGGGAUUAGAUACC
rnacentral:rRNA from 1 species